rnacentral:tRNA from 1 species
CCGCAAGCUCAGCCUGGUAGAGCUUCCGGCUGUAGACCGGACUGCCGCAGGUUCAAAUCCUGCCCGCGGGACCA